rnacentral:tRNA from 1 species
GGCUCCGUUGUGUAGUGGCCUAGCACGCCGCCCUCUCAAGGCGGUAGCGCCGGUUCGAAUCCGGUCGGAGCUACCA